rnacentral:sRNA from 1 species
CUCGCUCCGGCUCCCCUCGCCGUCCUGGACACGGCGGAGUGCGGAGCCGCCCGUAAGAUGCUCUGACCUUUGACCCCUGCCGUUCAGCUCUAGGGCCCGUGCAGGCCACACCAUGAACACCUCCCCAGGCACGGUGGGCAGUGACCCGGUCAUCCUGGCCACUGCAGGCUACGACCACACCGUGCGCUUCUGGCAGGCCCACAGCGGCAUCUGCACCCGGACGGUGCAGCACCAGGACUCCCAGGUGAAUGCCUUGGAGAUCACACCGGACCGCAGCAUGAUUGCUGCUGCAGCUACGACGGCGUCAACAAGAACAUCGCGUCUGUGGGCUUCCACGAAGACGGCCGCUGGAUGUACACGGGCGGCGAGGACUGCACAGCCAGGAUCUGGGACCUCAGGUCCCGGAACCUGCAGUGCCAGCGGAUCUUCCAGGUGAACGCACCCAUUAACUGCGUGUGCCUGCACCCCAACCAGAGCUCAUCGUGGGUGACCAGAGCGGGGCUAUCCACAUCUGGGACUUGAAAACAGACCACAACGAGCAGCUGAUCCCUGAGCCCGAGGUCUCCAUCACGUCC